UAAGAAUGUGCGUAGUGAAUGGAAAGUCACUCAGUUUGAGUACUUCGAAGAGGAAACAUCACAAAUAUUUCAGCCUGCUCAGAGGACCCUUAAGAAUGGCUCAAACUGGAUUGAUUCUUGUUCCUUUACUCCUGUUGUCCAUCGUGAUUCUAGUUAAGAUUUCCUAAUAUGCAAAUCUGUAAAUCAAAACCUGGAACAUUUUAUAGUGUAGUGGACAAGGGACGGGAGCCUGGGAAAAUUAGAGCCCGGAGGAGUACUGGGAUGAGAAAGGAAAAGGAAGGAAUCGGAAAGAAUGCGACAGAAACCACAUCAUCACAAGAGAGAUACCCCAACACUAGCACCACUACUGUAAGACCCAAAUUCCCCGAUCUUCUUGUCGUUAAUGAAUUCGUUUUCUUAAUUAUUAUCUUAGUGCAGAGCAGAUCUGCAGAAAUCUGUGACUCAGAGUCAGAAAUCCAGCACCUUGCCACAAAAACCCUACCUACUACAGGAGCCGCAUGGUCAAAAACAGUGCAAAUAACAACGUGUUACCCCAAUGACCGGCACAGGAAAACACAAUGUAGAUACCGAUGCGAAACUUUUUGCAGGAGUUCAGCCAAAUGGAGAGAUUGCAUAGCCUUCGCAUCGCAGGUUAAAGCUGAUUACAACUCAGAUCGCCUUUGCUGGGGAUACAAAUCUCUCCCCUCCUUUGGAUCUGAUGUUUCAAUUGGAGAGGCCACUUACUUAAAUGGUUGGUGUGUAUCAGAAUUUUUCAGCAAUGGGAUGACGUUUUAAGUGCCCAGACUCCAGUCCUCUCCGCUCCGAAGACAUUUAACAAGGCUUCUUGGCCGCCAGCUUAGUCAAGUGUCUAACUUAAGUGCAGCAUGUGAUUCGUUUAAUAAAUUUGUAAUAAUAAUCGAGUUGGGAAUUGAUUAGAUCUGUCUUUGUUCUGCAUCACUGUUUAUUUAGUAAGGCUGCUUAUCAAGAUAAACAGAGUUCAAGUGUACAAUAUAAUGCUGGUGUGUUAUCUCACUUGGUACCUAAACUAGGAAAGGUUACGUAGGAAUUAGGUGCGGACUAAAAUGAAUAAUCGACUGAUAACUGAAACUUGUUUGUCUCAGUCUCUUAACAAAGACUGGGAAUUGCUAUAGUGGACUCAAAUAGUCCAACAUUGAAAACUAAGCACAAAAAUACAACUUUCCCAAAAAUCCUUGAAAAGAAACCACAUUCUUAACUAAUGGAAAUCAAAUUUCCUUGAUUUUCUCUGUUUGUGGAAAAUUUAACCAAACCUUAUCUUAUGUGAGAGAUUUAGUAAACUGUACAGGAACCAAGGAUGUUUGUUUGUAAUACAGGAGAGUUGUUAUGUA